UUGAGGCUGCAGUGAACCAUGUUUGCACCACUGCACUCCGGCCUGGGUGACAAAGCAAGACCCUGUCUCAAAAAAGAAAAUUAUAAAUAAUUCAGGCAUUUAACAAAUAUCUACCACUUGAUCUAACAAAAAAAUAGUUCAAUACAAGUUAAGUGCCCACGUGUCACCCCUUAAUCCCAUGACUCCUAUUGUUUUCCAGAUAUCAUUAUUCUGAAUUUGCUGUUGUUCAUUAUGCAAUGCAUGUUUUAUACUUUUAUUAUAUAUUUAUGUGUCCAUAAGCAGCAUCUAGUAUUGGACUACAUGUUUUAAACUUGUAUAUAUGGUACCAUAUUGUGCACAUUCUUCCUUCUUCACUCAGUAUUUUCAGAUUUUAGCCAUCAUUGAUGCUUGUAGUCCUGGCUCAUACAUUUUCCUUGUUGUUUGGCAUUUCAUUGUAUGAAUAGACUACAGUUUAGAAAAACUAAUAUGCUGUUGAUGGACACAGUUGAUUACAGAUUUUCACCAUUAAAAGCAACUCUAAAAUGUCCAUGUUCCUUUCACAUAUGUUCUCUAUCAUAUAGAAAAUUAUGAUGUCCACACAGCACACGAGAAAAAGGAGGAGGCUUCUCACAGCUAAGGGUGACUGGGCCAGGGGCUCUGGCUGUCUAUAGACUGGUAAUUCAUUGGGUCUUACGGCUUGAAAAGCUGUGCUGCCAGAACAGUGAUUCUCAAACUCUAGCCUGUAUUAGCCUCACAGAUUGCUCUGUAGGUCUGACGUGAGACAGACUUUGCAUUUCUAACAAGUUCCCAGGUGAUGCUGAGGCUGCUGGUUUGGGGACUAUACUGGGAACUGCUGCUGUAGUACAUAAUACAAUGGCUGAACAACAUGACCAGAUACUGCCAAAUUGUUGUCCAAAGUCUGUAAUUAUCAGCAGAGUAGUGAGAGUUCCCAAUACUCCACAUUCUUUUUAGCACCUGUCAUUGUCAGCCUUUUAAAUUUAUGCCUGCUGGCUAUAAAAUGAUAGAAUAUUGCCAGAAUUUUUGUUCUUAGAUUACUAGUAAGGUUGAGCAGCUUUUCCUGUCUUCAUUGGCAAUUUUCCUUCUCAGUGAGUUGCCUGUUACGUACUUUGACCACUUUUCUCCUAGGUUUUCUUUAUCAAUUCCCAGGAGUUCUUUAUAUUUCCUGGGUAUUAAUCUUUUUCAGUUAUGCGUUAAAAUGUCUUCUGUCAGUCUGUGGCUUGCCUUUGCUCUUUAUUUAUGGUAUAUUUUAGUAUACAGAAGUUUCAGUUUUUAUGUAAUCAAACAUGUCAUUCUUUCUUUAUGGCUUGUACUUUUUAUAUCUUGUUUAAGGAAUCCCUUUCUCCCUUGAGGUCACAAAGAUGUUUUCUGAUAUUUUCUUCUCAAACAUUUUCUUCUCAAACUUUUGUAGGUUUGCUUUUCAUAUUUAUGUCUUUAAUCUUCCUGGAAGUUGUGAAUGGUGUAAGAUAGGGACAUAAUUUUAUCAUUUCCAAUUAGAAAGCCAGUUGGUCUUAGCAGCAUUUAUUAGAUCACCCAUUCUUUUCCCCACUUGUAUGUAAUACUGACUUGAGAGAGAGAGAUCUGUUUUAGAUUCCAUAUUCUGGGCCAUUGUUCUUUUGCCCACCUAGGCUUUAAAAAGACAUGAAUUACAGGAUGAAGGUUCUUACUAUUGUAAGUGAGUUACUGGACUGUUCUGCCUAGAAGUCAUAGAACUUUAGGGCAAGCACAUUUCCUCAGUGCCUGUUUCCCACCAGCCUCCUGCUAAAGUUGACUAUCUGCUUUCAAAUCUCCUAGUUCCUAAUUCUUGCCUCAGAACUGUCUAGUUGAGCACAUUUGCAGAGCUAUGAUUGUCAUUUCCUUAGCCCAGUGAGUAAUUCUGCCCUUCCUGGCUUUGAUUAACUACUUCCCAGUCUUUCUCUUAAGACUUAGAUUGGCAUUUCUCUCAUCUUCUCUACAAGCCGAAAUAACUUUACCAAUUAUAGGUGUACAGUAGAAAAACACUUUCCUAUACAUAGUUCCUGGACAGAAUGGUCGUCCACCAACAGUAAUGGAAGGGUUGUUCUCUCAGUUACUAUAAAGGGUUUAGGCAUAAUCUCUAAAUACGUAAUAGCAAGUUUCUGAGUUAUAGUAAAUGAAUGAGAUCUGUGCUGUUUCCAUAACGAGAAUAAGGUGCCAAUUCUUUCAGAGAAACAAUUGGAAAAGGCAUAUUUUUCACUUUUAUUACAUUGUUUACAAAGAGUAAACACUAGGUUUUUGACAGAAUGGUGUGAUGCAACAAGAGUGCCCCCAGAUCUCAUUGAUUUUAACUUUGUGACCUUGGGCAAGUGACUGCCUUUCUGGGUCUUCCAUAUCUUCAUUUCUAAAAGGAAGAGAAUUGAGCAAGGUGACUGUCAAGAAUUCCUACUUGGAAAUUUUGACUCAGUCUCUGGGGAACUGACACAUCUCAGAGAACUGGGAGAAAGGUAUCAUUUAUGUCUUUCAGAGGCCAAAAAUACUCCCAGAUUAUAGAACAUGCAUUAUGAUAAUGAAUGGGUAUUACAGUGAAGAUUAAUGUAUUUCAUUAUCUAAUCUUCGCUAGGUAACCAAAAUAGGUCAGGCUUAGACUUUAUCUUAUUUUAAUUCAGUCACUCUCACAUGGCAGGGAUAUUUGCAGCCCCAGAAGUCAGCUAAGGACUUUGGAAAGUCUUUUUUUUUUUUUUUAAUGACUUUUAUUUCAUUUGUUGGUUUUAAAUUGCAGCAGUGGUCUCCUCAGUCAAGACCCAGCCCAAAUUCUUUUGACACUGCCUUAUCCCAUUAGAUCAUCUGGCCCACAUUUUGCCUGGUGAAACUCUCCUCUGGCAAGGUAUAAGCACAACAAGGAAUAACUGCUUUGUCUACUACAGCCAGGUGGGAAGACACAGAUGUACUGCUGUACAAACAGUCUCCCAUCCUUCAGCCAGGCUGCCUGUGCUUUUGGACUCACAGCAUCUUUGUCUUCUUGCUGUCUUUUAGAAGAGGGCCUGGAAAAGAGCAUCUAUGCCUUUUUGAAUGGUUAACUUGAAUGGCAAUAUAUAGGAAAGGCAUAAGGUCUCUGAGGUUGGUAUAGCACCGGAUCCAGAGCUCUUUUAAACAAGCAGUCUGUCCAGUCAGGUGGGCCUUGGAGCUGGAGGCUUAGAUACCAGGACAGCUGUAUUUGAUCCAGACUGUUAAGAAGUAUGAACUUCAUCUUGUUACUUCCCUACUACGAUUCUGAAUCAGAAUGAUCAUGACUUUGCUAACUGAAGAAGAGAAAAUAUUGUCUUAGUUUUUUUCCCCUGUAAUAUUCUCUGUACAGGGGAAAAAAACUAAGAGAAUAUUUUCCCAGAAUGUCCACUGUGGUUACCUCUGGAAGAAGGGAUUAUAGGUUUCUUUACUUCUUCCUUUUAAAAUAUUUUUUUUUAUUUUCAACAACAGACAUGAAUCGUGAAACUCAAAAAAAGCAAUGAAUGUUACACUUUUCAAAACUUCCAUUAUGCCUCAGGUGGACGAUCAGAAUCUUUGACCUGAUGGAUAAAGGUGUUCACAAUUUGGCCCCAACCCAGUCCUCAAGCUCUAGUGUUCUUCAGAUCCAGUGAAUUUUGCUCACCAUUGCCCAGCAUGCGAUGACCUCUCACAACGCUGUGGUACUUGCUGUCUGCAGCACCAUCUACCACCCUUCUCUCUACCCUACCCAGCUUCAGGCUUCCUUCUGAGAAUUCUUUGUGUCCACACACCUCCCCCCUAUCCCAGGCUGGAUUAAUUUCUCCCUUCUUUCUGUUCCUAUAGCACUGCAUACAGAUAUCUACUCUAGCAGUUAUUGACUUAUAGAAUAACGAUUGUUAAAUGACUGGCUAUUUUAUAAGCCAUCAACUUCUUGAGGACAGGGAAUUUACUGAAUUUAAAUCACCUAAGCAUACUACUGUGCGGUAGACUCAGCCUGGAUUCUUGUUGAAUGGAGCAGGUGUUCAUGGUAGAUAUCCACCAGCAGAUUCUAAUGGUAUUUCUUUAUUUAUAAUGGCAUUUAAUGCCUUGCCUGGAAUACUGUCACAAGAAAGAAAGUAUAACUUACCCCUGAGGUAACUCACCUCAGGAUGUUUUCUGUGGAUCUGUACACCUUGCUAGCCCAGAUGGCUGCUCACAUGGUUGAACAUUUGGUUGUGUUGCUGGUUUUUAUCAGAGGCUGUACCUAGUAUUCUCUCCCAUCUGUACAACACACUUUGUGAGUCAGCAGCCCCUUUCUUCACAUUUCACAAGAUAUCCUCACUAAGGUCUUAUAUGCCAUCUGAAAUUUCCCUGAUGCCAUAUAUCUUCUUACAGAAAAUCACCUAGGUUUUGUUUGGUCUACUUGAAGACAUUUAUCUUUGACCAGGCCCUAGUUUACGCAGACUGUUCUCCUAAGAAAAAAGUUAAAUUUACUUUUGGGUUCUAAGUGUUGUACCCAAGCAAGUUAAGGAAUGUGCCACACUUUGAGAUUGAAUUAUGAGUCCUUUAUUAUGCCUGUGACCGAGAGGCGGCUAAUGCCCAGAAUUUUCUUGGCACCUAAGAAAAUGUUAGGUAGUCUUUUAUACCCUAGUUUUAAAAGGGAGGGGGAACCUAGCUGAAGCAAAUUUUUUACAGAAGAAGAGUAGGCAAAAAGUUAAAAGAUAACCUAGUACAUGAGAAAUAAAACAGUGCCAGGUGAAAGGGGUAAGGCUGUUAUAAAAGACAUACAACUUAUAGAUAAUGGGGGCUCUGGGCACUUGACAGUACCUGCAUUCCCAGGCUCUGCUGGGAAUCCACUUAACUCUGCUUGGAAACCACUUAACUUGGCCUUUUAUUAGCAAAUGCAUUCCUGGAUGUGCCCAGUGUUAGCCUGCCCCAGCUACAUACUACAGCUACAUACUUAAUGGUGGGAAAAUAACUAAAAUGAAGAAGCUAAGAUGGAGUCUGUCUGGCUCAAGAAGCUAACAUGAAGCCUGAACAGCUCUUAGUUUAUGCAGACUGUUCUCCUAAGAAAAAAGUUAAAUUUAAUCUUGGGUUCUAGGAGUCUUCUCCAUACCUGAAUGUAUUAGUUAUUACUUACUGCUUCUGCUUUAGCUUUAGCGCACUGGAUGCCGGCAUUCCAAUGUGUUCCUAAGCUUCAGAGAGCCAGGGGAAUCUGUUGUUACAUUUCACAUGUGCAGUCUUUUAUAUAAAAUUAUUGCAAUAUAUAUUGAGUAUAUUCUUUCAUAUAAUACGCAUUUUGUGCAGAUUUGAAUACAUAAAAUUGAAAUAGUAGGAUAUACUAAAAGUAUUAAUAAAGCUUCACUCCAGUUUUUAAAACAAAGUAGACUAGAAUGACAUAAUUUCAAAGCUGGAAGGCUUGAGUUGAUUGUAAACUGUGUUGAAUCUGCAGUCACAUGGCAGUGCCAUUUUGGCCAGUAAAACGCAGAUAAUACCUGACUUCCUUUGGCAGUGUCCUGUGUACCACAUUGCUUUUCACUGCAUAGGAACUUGUACUUGUGGUUUUAGUGUCUAUUUACCUGCUCUUGUUAGAACUGAAAAUAUUUUUGUAGCCUUAGAAUGUCACCUAAGCAUCCAUAAAAUGGUGGUGGUACUUGUGCUAGUGCUGCAACUAGCACAUGAAAAUAAAUAUUACUGGAAAAGAAUUUAGAUGUGGAGAAACAUGAAGAAGGUCAAAUAGCCCCCAUGGUACACUGUGCUGUUAAUUUAGGAAUGAGUGCUCUGUAGCUAAUGGAGAUGAUGCUUAGGAAAUAAAGUGGAACAUUGAAAUAAAAAUGCACCAUGGUGAUGUAGAUCUGUGCCUCCUGAGAAUGCAUUUAUUCCUGUGAAGAAAUUCGUUUUGAAUUUUGCAUAUAUUGAAUUAUUCAAAGUUUAUGCAUCCAUCUGGCUCUUGGGAUUUUUUUCAUAAUUAAAAUUAUUAUAUGCCAGUUUCAAAAUCUCUUUUUAAAAUACAUUGGGGCAAACAAAAAAUAAAAAUAAAAAAACACAUUGGGAUAAAAAUUAUAGGUUAUUAUUAAAGUAUAAAACAUGAAUGACUUUCAUUAAUAUAGUUCUCACCGAUUGCUUUAGCUUAAUAACUUCAAGACAUUUUUUUCUUAAAUAUUUUUGAAGGGUUCUAGCUUUUAAUACUGUAUAUCCAAGGUCAUAGGGCCAUUUAGGACAAACAUUUGGCAUCCCAGAAUAGAAUGUUAAAAUUGGAAAGAACCUUAGAGAUCAUUUUACAAAGGAAGAAACAGAUGGUUAGAGAGGGCAGCUGAGGGAUUGGCUCAGGGUCACACAACAUUUCAAAGUAUUUCUAAUUCUAUUGUCUUAAUUUUUCAGUAUCCUUUCCUCCUCCUCUGUGUCUUUAUAUGUAUUGACCUUUUCCCACCAUGAUAAUAAGCUGAAGUUCAGAUAUAUUUUAUCACCCAGGGUAAGAGUGGAAGUAUCUGUGUUUCUUUAAAAAAAAAAAAAAAAAAAAAAAAAAAAAAAAACCAUGUGGGCUUUU